rnacentral:lncRNA from 10 species
GAACAUAGAAUUAGGAUUGUGACAAGAGACAAUGGUGGCAAUGACACGUAGUUAGAAUGUUACAGCUUGUGAAGUCUGUAGCUAAAUCUCAGGAACAGAAAUGUUGAGAAGGGUAGACUGAUGACUACCCCUCAGUGGAAACAGACCAGAUCUCAGCUUAUCUGGCUGGAAGGAAAGCAAAAAAACAAAGCAAAACCAACCAAAAAAUCCUAAGAAACAAAAGACAGAUUCAAGCCAAUCUGUGAUUUGUAAAAUAAGCCAGGUGCAGGCUUGUGUGCCUUCAGCUGAAUGUAAGAAGUCCAGCUAUCAUGAAGUCUCCAUGUGGACAGACAAUUCAGAGGAAUGAGAGAGAGAGAGACCUGAGCAGCUAGCAGUGCCAGCACCUAGAUGUUUGAAUCUUCCCAGCCCAGAUACAUGAUGGAAAAAACUUCAAGAUGCCCAUUGGACAGCAACCACAUGAAAGACCUGGAGUGAGAACUCCUAAGCUGAGAUCUCACUCUUUCAGACUCCAGAGCCAAAUAAAUAAUUAUUAAUGUUUAAGCCACUGUUUUGGUGUGGCAACAAUAAAGGCCUGGAACAGGG